rnacentral:rRNA from 1 species
GUAGGGUGCGAGCGUUAAUCGGAAUUACUGGGCGUAAAGCGUGCGCAGGUGGUUGUGUAAGUCAGAGGUGAAAUCCCCGGGCUCAACCUGGGAACUGCCUUUGAGACUGCACGGCUAGAGGAUAGCAGAGGGGGGUGGAAUUCCACGUGUAGCAGUGAAAUGCGUAGAGAUGUGGAGGAACACCGAUGGCGAAGGCAGCCCCCUGGGCUAUUACUGACACUCAUGCACGAAAGCGUGGGGAGCAAAC